UUCCGAAGUGUUGAGUUCAGUCCACGGCAGCUUCCCUGUUCUGUUAAUUAAACUUUAGGACAUUAAAAUGGGCUAAGGGAGAUGACUGGGUAGAAAGUAUUAUUUGCUUCCCAGCCUAUGAAA
ensembl:snoRNA